GCAGACUGGGACUCCACUGCAGAGAGAAACUGGGCUGAGCCAGAAGGGCCCUGCAGGUGCUGCUCAGAGCAUCUUCCUCCACGAGAACUGCUGGCUUGGGCACCAGGAACUCUCGGCUCUGCGCUUUCUGUUCUUUGUAGCAUUUAAUCCUCACACCAGCUUGUGAAGUAGAUGUUCUUAUUACCUUUUACAGAACGUGGUUCAUUUGCAGUCCCAGCCCAUCGGGAGAGCAGCCUGGGAGUCUGAGGGCUCCAGUCCACCGGACAGGCUUGCCGGGACCUGGUAAGGCUGAAGUGGUGCAGAGGGGAGAGGCCAGGCCCAGAACCUCUUUUUCCGUCUUGUGUUCCCAGGCCGGCUUCAGAAAUAGAUGAGCAAGCCAGCAGACCAGCAGACGGACGGUGGAACGAUGCAGUAGAGAAAGAGAGAAGAGGAGGAACAUCUGAACGCGGAGAGGAGUUUGACUGGGGACAGUCAGAGAGGAGUCCGGCUGCUGGGCGCCUGACUCCAGGGGAAGAUCACCUUCCUACUCCAUAACCCCCUUCUGGCUCCUCAUCCUUCCUGCUAAAAGCUACCUCCACCAUUCAAUAAAACUUCGCAUUCAUCCUUCAA